AUCCCACAUGGCGGCGCUCCUGAGGAGACUGCUGCAGCGCGAGAGGCCUUCGGCGGCCUCUGGCCGCCCCGUAGGACGGCGCGAGGCCAACCUGGGCACUGAUGCCGGGGUUGCGGUGCGAGUGCGGUUCGCUCCCAGCCCCACAGGUAACCCUGGCGGACGUGACGCUACAGGCCGAGGCCCCCUGUCCCGUCUCCGCCCCACGAAUGUUCCCGAAUGAAUCCUUUCCGGUGGUGUCAGAGUGGGCGGGCGGAGGAGGGUUAAGGCAGCGCGAGCCCAUUUUACAGAGGCGGAAACUGAGGUGCAGGAGCGGAAAUAAUUCAAAUUGCCAGGAGUUUCUUGUGUUUUUUGUGCCAUCCCAUCUCUUUCGAUCUUUUUUUCAUGCAUUCCAUACAUGUGCAUUGAUGACAACCUGUGUAACAGGUGUUGUAGACGCUGGGAUACAGUGAUCAUUGAGAAAGGCUUCUUGCACCUGGGUGGCCUCCGCACUGCCUUGUACAACUACAUCUUUGCUAAGAAGUACCAGGGGAGCUUCAUCCUGAGGCUAGAGGACACAGAU
rnacentral:lncRNA from 1 species